rnacentral:rRNA from 1 species
UACGUAGGUGGCAAGCGUUGUCCGGAAUUAUUGGGCGUAAAGAGCUCGUAGGCGGUCUGUCGCGUCUGCUGUGAAAACUCAGGGCUUAACCCUGAGCUUGCAGUGGGUACGGGCAGACUAGAGUGCGGUAGGGGAGACUGGAAUUCCUGGUGUAGCGGUGAAAUGCGCAGAUAUCGGGAGGAACACCGGUGGCGAAGGCGGGUCUCUGGGCCGUAACUGACGCUGAGGAGCGAAAGCAUGGGGAGCGAACAGG